rnacentral:lncRNA from 1 species
ACUGGGAAAACAUGGCGGAGUCGGCUGGCGUUAAGUUGCUUUUUGGCAAAGUUGGGCGGCGAGAUUGUUUUUGGUGAUUUGGAUUAGAAAGCUGCAGGAGGGUCAUCGCUUAGUAAUUUAGGGUUAAGAGUACAGAAGCUAUGUCUUCCGUUGGUCGCAUGCCAUUUGAGUUCCUUUUUAUUUCCUCGAGUUUUAUUUGUUGGUUAUUCAUGGCUAGGUCUGUUCGCUCCUCACGUUCUCUCCUAAUCUCAGUAACUUUGUUAACCUUUCAUUUUCAAGUAAUUCACAGUUACAGAAAUAUUGCUAAACUAGUACAAAUAAUUCCCACAAACCCUUCUAGAUUCCACAAAUGUUAACGUUUUGCAUGUGCUAUAUCAUUUGAAAGGAAAUUGCCGACAUGAUGUCCUUCUAUCGCUACAUUUUUUUUUUUUUAAAGACGGAGUCUCGGUCUGUUGCCCAGGUUGGAGUGCAGUGGCGGGGGCUUGGCUCACCGCAACCUCCGCCUCCCGGGUUCAAGUGAUUCUCCAGCCUCAGCCUCCCAAGUAGCCGGGACUACAGGCGCGCGCCACCAUGGCCGGCUAAUUUUUUUGCAUUUUUAGUAGAGACAGGGUUUCACUAUGUUGGCCAGGCUGGUCUCGAACUCCUGACCUCGUGAUCUGCCUCCCUCAGCUUCCUAAAGUGCUGGGAUUACAGGCGUGAGCCGCCGUGCCUGGCGUUACAUUCUUUUAUAGAGACAGGGUCUCCCUCAGUCGCUCAGGCUGGAGUGCAGUGGCGCGAUCAUGGUUCCCUGCAGCCUCUAACUUCUGAGUGAAGACGAUCCUCUCGUCUCGGCCUUCCAAAGUGUUGGGAUUACCGGCGUGAGCCACCAUGCCCAGCCUAUCUAUACGUUCUUAAAAUGUGUAUUUCCUAACAACAGAGAGAUUCUCUUAUGUCAUCAGUACACUUAUCAAAAUCAGGAAAUUGAUAUUGCAAUAGUACUAUUAUCUAACCUUCAGUCCUUAUUCAAAUUUAUAAGUUGUUGCUCCUAUGUUCCUUGGAGCAAAUGGGAAAAAAAAUUGUUUUUCCAGGCUCUUGAUCUAAUGGAGGAUUACAAAUUGCAAUUAUUUAUCAGGUCUCUAGUCUUUAACUGAUAGUUUUAGAUUUAACUGUUAAAUUUGUAACAUGGGUUUGUUGGAGUUUUCCUCAUUGGAUUCAGAUAGUGAAUUUUUGGUAGAAAUGCUAUGUCCUUGGUGCAUCACAUCAGAAUACAUUCUCUCUCUCUUCACUCUCUCUCUCUCUAUAUAUAUACGCACACACAAACACUUUUUUUUUUCUUUCUUUUUUUGAGAUGGACUCUCCCUCUGUCACCCAGGCUGGAGUGCAGUGGUGCGAUCUCGGCUCACUGCCACCUCUGCCUCCCAGGUUCAAGCAGUUCUCUGCCUCCCGGGUUCAAGCAGUUCUCUGCCUCAUCCUCCCAAGUACCUGGGAUUACAGGUGCCUGCCACCACGCCCGGCUAAUUUUUGUGUUUUAAGUAGAGACAGGGUUUCACCAUUUUGGCCAGGCUAGUCUUGAACUCCUGACCUUGUGAUUCACUUGCCUCAGCCUCCCAGAAGUGCUAGGAUUACAAACGUGAGCCACUGUGCUUGGCCACACACAUAUACAUUUUUUCGAAGAGAUGGGGUCUGGCUGUGUUGCCCAGGCUGGAGUGCAGUAGCUAUUCACAGGUCUGAUUGUAGCCUGCUACAGCCUUGAACUCAUGGGCUCAAGCAGUUCUGCUUCAGCCUCCAGAAUAGUUGGGACUACAGGAAUACACCACCACACAUGGGUUCCCAAUAUUGUGGUGGUAUUUUAUUCUUUAGAUUUUUACCCAGGCCAGUGCAGAGAGGUGUUACCUUUUAUCACUUGAUUAAGGUGAUGAUCUUUGCCAUGACAGUUCCCAGAUGUAUUUCAAGCCUUUCCUCUAAGCUCUAUGCCAGCAUAUCUUCCCUGAGACUGCUCUAGCAGCCUCCUAAAUUCUGUCUUUAAUCUGUUCUCUGCUCAGCAGUUAGAGGGAUCUUUUAAGUAAGUAAAUCAGAUCACAUUAUUUCCUGUUUUUAACAGUUCGAUUGCUUUUCAUAAUAUUUGGAAUAAAAUCUCAACUUCUUACUCUGGCCUUGUAUCAUAUGCUUUAAUACCCAGAUACACCUUAUGCCAUCCCUCCUUCAUUGUGUUGAAGCCACACUGGUCUUGAAUGGGCCAAGCUCUCUCCUCCUCCAUGACCUUUAUACAUGGUGUCUCUCUUGCCAGGAAUGGUCUACCCAUUGUUAAUACUCAUCGUGUAGCAGUGCCAACUUAUCUCUUGUAUUUUUUCCUAGAUAUUUUUCUGAGAGUUAACCAGGCUACCACAUAAAAAAAGGUUAAGUCCCCACCCUUCUUUUUCUAGCUCACCUUGUUUCCCUCAGAGUUAUCACAAUUGCAAUUGUUUGACUUGUUUUGCUGCCCACGUAGGUGUUGUUUCGUUCCAGUUAGAAUAAGUUCCAUGAGGGCAGGACCUUUGCUGUCUUUUCUGUUUUAUUUUCUCACCUUAGUCUGGUAAGGGGCUCAAUAAAUAGGUAGUGAAUGAAUCAGUCUUUAGGUCUUGUUGUCUUGCUUUAUAAUUUACAAAGCAAAAGAUAUGAAUGAAGAAGAAUGUUCAUUUUAGCAUUUUUUUUGCUACUAUCUCCAAACUGGAAAUUACCCAAAGGCCCAUAAACAAGAGACUGGAUAAAUUGUGAUAACAAUCUAUAGCAACGGAGUCUACAGCAACUACAUGGAACAAUGCGGAUGAAUUUCAUAAAUAACACUAACAAAUAAGCUGACACAAUAUAUCCUGUAUGCUUUUAUUUAUAUCAAAUUCAAAACAGGCAAAACUAAUCUACAGUUCUUAUAAGUAAUGAUCAUAUUUACCUUUGGUGCAGGCAGCAGUGGCUAAAGGGGAAAAGGGGAGCUUCUGAGCUGCUGGCCAUGUUGUUUCUUCAUCUGGUGUUAACUACGGGAGUGUGUUAUUAUUUUUGUUUUAAAUUUUUUUAGAGACGGGUCUUGCUAUGUUGCCCAGGCUGAUCUGGUACUCCUGGCCUCAAGCCAUUCUCCUGCCUAAGCCUCCCGAGUAGCUGGGAUUAGGGGCACGGGCCACCCCGCCUGGCUGAAGUGUUUGCUUGUGAAAAUUCAGAGCCCUAUCCAUAUGGUUUAUGCGUUUUCUCACCAAAUGUAUGUUAACCUAAAAAGUUUUUUUUUAAUGCAGUUUCCUGGCUGUACAACCAGAGAACUUUAUUUGCAGGUCUGGUGAGGGGCAAGAAUCUGCAUAUAAAAACAAGCUCUCAAACACACUUUGAACUUCCCCGAACACAAUUUGAGAAACACUUUGGGACUCCCCCUACAGUUACAGAAUUAUUUUCUAAAGUACAUUAUCUUGUUAUAUCACUCCUGUUUAAAGUUGAUUUUUAUCCCCUAUCUUACAGGAUAUAGUCCAAACUCCCUAGUCUGGCAUUCAAGGCACUCCAAAAUCUUACUCCCAAACACCUUCCUAGCUUUUUUCUCCGACCAUUCUGCGUCUCUCAUUCCUAUUUCCCGCAGCAUUUCAUGCAGCUUGAGCCCCCUGUUUCCUAAAAUGUGCUCCCCACAAGCAUCUCGAGAUCCCCAUCCCAGGCAGCCCCAGGCAGUUUUUAAGUUUCUACCAAGCUCCACUAUACUGGCAAGGCAACUUUCCCCAAGCAAGUCUUGUUUCCUUCGGAAGGUCGCAGGCGCCCAGGAAUGAACAGGAUAACUGCUAGUGGCUCCAGAUGUCAGAAAACAGAUGACCAGAUCGAGCACGCGCAGAUCUCUGGUUGGUCGGCUGUGUGCCUCCGGAAGGCCCGCCCUGCUCGUCCAAUCACGGAGAGGGAGGGCACGUUGAGAGUGAUGCCAGGAAUCAAGAUGGCCGCCUGGGACCGCUCUCAGCCCCUUCGGCCUCUACCUGAAGAGCCACGCCCCGUCUGCUACACCCAACUGAUUGGUUCCUCAAUCACAGAGAGGAAAGGCAACAUGAGGAUGACGUCAGUUACAAAUAUGGCGUUUUGGACGGGCUCGAUAGUUUGCUUGGCCUCUACUCAAGGAAUGCUGAUGGUAUAGCAAGAAGGUAUUCUGAGCAUUAUAUCAAUGGGGAAGUUCUAGAUCUUUUGCAAAGCAGGAGCUGCCCUGUUGUGAGCUCUCCGGUGGAGAGCCCCACAUGGCAAGAAAAUGAGAAGCCCCCUGAACAGACAAGAGCUGAGGCCCAGGAUACAAUAUCCUGAAAAAAACUGAAUCCUGCUGACAGUUGCCCAAGUGAAGCUGGAAGUGGAUCUUUCUGCAGUAUUUGUUAAUACAGCAAUGGAUACUUAAUACAGCUUCCUACAUGGUCUCCCUCCUUCGACCUUUACACUACAAUCUGUCGUCCACACAGCAGUCAGAGAUCCUUUUAAAACAUAAGUCAGAUCAUCAUGACACUCACCUCCCUGCUAAGUGUCCUGCAAGGCCUUUCACGGUCUGAUCCCCUAUCCUUUCUCUUUCCUCAUCUCCUAUCACUCUUGCCCUUGCAAAUUUUCUUCCAGCACUCUGGCCUCCUUGCUGUUCUUCAGUAUGGCAAGCAACCUGCUGCCCGGAGCCCACACACUGACUGUCCCCUCUCCUAGGACACUCUUCCCUCAAGGGCUCCCAUAUCUUGCCUGCUGGCUCCUGCAUCUUCUUCAAGUCUGCUCAAAUGUCACCUUCUCAGUGAGGCCCAUCCUGGCUAUCCUCUUUCAGUUCUGACAGAAAAUAAUUUAUUGCUUUAUUACAUCAUUAUUUUGUUGUCUUCCCUCCGUCUGUUCCUACUAAAAUUUAAUCUCUGAGAAAGCAGAAAACGUUGUCUUGUUCUUUCCUGUAACCCAAGUGCCUUGAACAUUGCCUCAUUAAUUGCUUGCGCUCAGUAAUAUGUGUUGAAUAAAUGGGUUAAGUAGUUUAUUAAUUGUGAAACUAAAUCCUGUCUGAAAGGUUUGGAGCAGCUUGUUGAAAUAGCAAAUGGAGAUUCUGUGUUUUAAGUUGUGGCUAAGGUAGAAUCAUCCAUGAUGUAUGUGGAGCCAGCUCCUGUGUCCUGGACUUAAACAUCUGUAUCUGACGUGUGGGUAAUUAUAUUGCUAUCCUACACCUUUGACCCAUUCAUCUCGGCUCACCUGUGAUCCAGGCUAUGCUACUAAAGUUGGGUGAGAGAGUCUGCAACACAAGGAAAACAUAGAGCCAUCAUUUAGUAAAUCAAACCCAUAAUAAUACAUUUUGUUGUUAAAUGUAGCCAAUCUCUGAGUAUUUUUUAUUAAAGUAUCUCUAAUGUUUAAAAACAUCUAACACAUUCAUCAUGUUUCAACUGUCCUCAGCCCCUGCUUGGCUUCCCUCCUGUAUGUGUCAGUGCCCAAAGUCCGGAAGGGGCCAAGGUGGCAGGGGUCUGGCGUGUCAGUGCCAACCUCAGUGUGUGCCCACCUGGCUGGGCUGUGACAGUGCCCGGGUUCGGCCCCAACCUUGCUUCAUGAUUGGAGCGGGCACUGGGAGCAGGGAGAGGCCAGGCAGUGGGAGCAGACACUUCGCAGGGGGGCCUUCCUGGGCCCCCAAGAGCACAGAGAUGCCUGGGUUUGCAGCCGGGCCUGGGCAGCUGCAGUGGCACCUGGGGAGGGCAGGGCUUCUGCCUGUUCCAUGGAGUGUACAACCCCAGCCGUGCCUCCCUGCUGCAGCCGAUGUCUUGGCAGUGGCCACUCUAGAUGGGUCACUGCUGCCACCAAUAUGACAUUAAUGAAGUAGACUUAAAGUUUUCAGGGGAUUUAAUUAAUCAUGAUUUUAAGUGGUGCUAAUGUUUCUGGAAAUUUAAUCUCUUAGACUUGACUUAUUUGAACAUUCAUCAUAGAGCAAGCUAAAGUUAUUGUUUCUAAUUUACAUAAAAAUUACUACCUAUAAAACAGAAUAAUAACUUUACAAGUUGAAAUAAAAGGUUUAAGAAAAUCUAGGUUUUUAAACAUAAGACUUUAAAAAUUAAAUAUUAUUUUAAUGGCUAGUAACUGUUGAUAGUCCAUUUGUGCACAACAACCCCCCUUGGGCAUUUGAAAAUAAAAAUCUCUACUGACCAUUUUGAAAGAAUGAGUUUGAGGAUACAUCCACAGGUUGGAGCUUCAGCAUGAGCAGGACAUGGAGAGCCCAGGAAACUUGAGCGAAAUCAUAGGGUCACAUCUGAAGAAGAAGUUGAUUACAUUCAAUUCUGGUCACCUGGCCCAUUAGUGGUGGCAUCAGACCCAGAAGAGGCAUCUGGAGGGGAGUUAGUGUGCAUCAAUUUUAGCAAUGAGUUAUAGAGUCUCUCAAUAACUGUGGCUUAAACAUUUAUUUUCCUCUUUUGUGGGGGUCCUGAGCUGGCCUGGUCCCUCAGCUCAGGGACCCAGCUUACUCUCCCUACAUCCCUAACAUCCAUGAGGUGGCUCUUAUUCUCAUUACUUCAGGCCUACAGAUCCUGCCCUUACACUUUGCAGCAGGAUAAAGGAAAAGGGCAAAAGAUGGGUGUCCACUGUUCUCUCAGGAAGAGUCUUGGUUGCCAUAUCAGGACACUUCUGCUUCCUUUCCGUUGGCCAGAACUCAGCCUCAUUACCAAACCUACAAGCAAUGCUGGGAAAUUGAGUCUCCACUUCUGGUGGCUAUGAGCCUUGCUAAAAAUCAGAUAUUCUAGAACUAUUACUAUGGAAAAAAGCAAAAGUAAAUAUCAGGAAAUGGGUACUUACUACUUACACAUGUUAUGUGGGCAGCAGCAAGCUAUAGGAUGUGAAAUUUUAAAUCUUAAGACUUUAUAUGGAAAUGGCACAGUUGAAAUAGGAUGGAAAUGAUAGUCAUAAGUAGUCACUGAAAUCUAUACAGGAAAACAUAGGCUUGUUCCUGCAAUGUCACAAAACACCAGCUGGGGAUUUUGUUCAAAACCCCAAAAAUGUCAUUUUAGGGCAGAUAAGUGUUCUUUUAGAAACAGCAUUUUAGAAACAAUCAAAAAACCGCCAAACUGAGGAACAAAUUAGCCUAUGAGGAGGUAUACAUGGAAAGUAUAAAUUGGGUCUAAACCUUUUUCUCUCUUUCUGUUUCUUUCUUUGUUUCUUUGUUUGUUCUUUCUUUCUUUCUUUCUUUUCCUUUCUUUCCUUUUCUUUCUUUCUCUUUCUUUCUUUCCUUCCUUCCUUCCUUCCUUCCUUCCUUCCUUCCUUCCUUUCCUUUCCUUUCCUUUCUUUCUUUCUUUCUUCCUUUCUUUUCUUGCGAUUUUCCUGCCUCAGCCUCCCGAGUAGCUGCUAUUACGGGGGCCUGCCACCAUGCCUGGCUAAUUUUUUUUUUUUUUUUUGUAUUUUUUAGUUGAGACAGGGUUUCAGUACGUUGGCCAGGCUGGUCUCGAACUCCUGACCUUGUGAUCCGCCUGCCUCGGCCUCCCAAAGUGCUGGGAUUAGAGACAUGAGCCACCAUGCCCGGCCCUAAAACUUUUUCAUAUGCAUACAUAUUUUUUGAGAUGGAGUCUCACUCUGUCACCCAGGCUGGAGUGCAGUGGCACAGUCUUGGCUCGCUGCAACCUCUGCCUCCUGGGUUCAAGCGAUUCUCCUGCUGGGAUUACAGGCGUGCACCACCAUGCUUGGGUAGUUUUUGCAUUUUUAGUAGAGUCGGGGUUUCACCAUGUUGGCUAGGCUGGUCUCAAACUCCUGACCUCAAGUGAUCUGCCCACCUCAGCCUCCCAAAGUGCUGGGAUUACAGGCAUGAGCCACUGCACCCAGCCAAGUAUCUUUUUUUUUCUUUUUCUCUUCUUUUCUUUUUUUCUGAUGGAGUCUCACUCUGUUGCCCAGGCUGGAGUACAGUGGCUUGAUCUCAGUUCACUGCAACCUCCCCCUCCCAGGUUCAAGCGAUGCCCCUGCCUCAGCCUCCCAAGUAACUGGGAUUACAGGAAGCCACCACCACCCCAGCUAAUUUUUGGAUUUUUAGUAGAGUCUGGGUUUUGCCAUGUUGGCCAGGCUGAUCUUGAGCUCCUGACCUCAGGUGAUCUGCCCGUCUUGACCUCCCAAAGUGCUGGGAUUACAGGCGUGAGCCACCGUGCUCCGCCUAAAGCUUUUUCAUAAUUUAAUCAAUGGCAUAUUCCUAGGAGAAACCAUAAAACGUUAAAAUAAACUGCUUUGCUUACACAGAAAACAGCCUUCUUGUAUAAAAUCCUGGGCUGGAAGUUCUUGUCAACAGGUUACCCUUCUAUUUUUUAUUUUUUAUUUUUUUUUGAGACAGAGGCUCACUCUGUCACCAGGCUGGAGUGCAGUGGCAUGAUCUCAGCUCACUGCAACCUCCACCUCCCAGGCUCAAGGUAUCCUCCCACCUCAGCCUCACAAGUAGCUGGGACUACAGGUACAGCCACCAUGCCUGGCUAAUUUUUUUGGGGGUAUUUUUUUGUAGAGACGAGGUCUUGCCAUGUUGCCUAGGCUGGUUUCAAAUUCCUGGGCUCAAGCAAUCUGCCUGCCUAAGCCUCCCAAAGUGCUAAGAUUACAGGCAUGAACCACUUCGUAACCACCAUCCAGACCAAAAUACAGAACAUUUCUGUGGCCGAAUUAAGUUCCCUCUUUCUUCUUAACUUCAUUUCCUGGAGUCUACCACUAUUGUGCCUCUAUAUCACCAUAGAUUCCUCUUGUUUAUUCUUGGCCUUCAUAUAAAUUGUAUCAUACAGUAUGUAUUCUUUUGGGUCUGAUUUUUUCAGCUCAACAUUAUGUCUGUGAGAGUCAUCCAUGUUAUUCUAGGUAUUAGGAGUUCAAUCCUUUUUAUUGCUCAGUAGUAUUCCAUUGCAUGAGUGUAACACAAUUUUUUUUUUUUUGAGAUGGGUUCUCACUCUGUCCUCCAGGCUGGAGUGCAGUGGUGCAAUCAUGGAUCACUACAGCCUCGACCUCCUGGGCUCCAAGUAACCCUCCUGCCUCAGCCUUCCAAGGAGCUGGGACUACAGGCACACAUCACCACACCUGGCCAUUUUUUUUUUUUUUUUUGGUAGAGCGGGGGUCUCACUAGGUUGCCUCCCCAAGUGCUGGGAUUACAGAUAUGAGCCACCACGCAUGGCCCAGAUGUAAAGUUCUAUCAACUUCAUCAUCAUCUUUUUUUUUUAAUUAUACUUUAAGUUCUAGGGUACAUGUGCACAACGUGUAGGUUUAUUACAUAUGUAUACAUGUGCCAUGUUGGUGUGCUACACCCAUUAACUCGUCAUUUACAUUAGGUAUAUCUCCUAAUGCUAUCCCUCCCCACUCCCCCCACCCCACAACAGGCCCCGGUGUGUGAUGUUCCCCUUCCUGUGUCCAAGUGUUCUCAUUGUUCAAUUCCCACCUAUGAGUGAGAACACGCGGUGUCUGGUUUUCUGUCCUUGCGAUAGUUUGCUGAGAAUGAUGGUUUCCAGCUUCAUCCAUAUCCCUACAAAGGACAUGAACUCAUCCUUUUUAUGGCUGCAUAGUAUUCCAUAGUGUAUAUGUGCCACAUUUUCUUAAUCCAGUCCAUCAUUGAUGGACAUUUGGGUUGGUUCCAAGUCUUUGGCUAUUGUGAAUAGUGCCACAAUAAACAUACGUGUGCAUGUGUUUUUAUAGCAGCAUGAUUUAUAAUCCUUUGGGUAUAUACCCAGUAAUGGGAUGGCUGGGUUAAAUGGUAUUUCUAGUUCUAGAUCCUUGAGGAAUUGCCACACUGUCUUCCACAAUGGUUGAACUAGUUUGCAGUCCCACCAACAGUGUAAAAGUGUUCCUAUUUCUCCACAUCCUCUCCAGCACCUGUUGUUUCCUGACUUUUUAAUGAUCGCCAUUGUAACUGGUGUGAAAUAGUAUCUCAUUGUGGUUUUGAUUUGCAUUUGUCUGAUGGCCAGUGAUGAUGAGCAUUUUUUCAUGUGUCUAUUGGCUAUUUCCUUUAGAGGCUACUGAGUCACUUCAUUCUGGCUGGUCCCCUCUACACCUUCAUCACCAUCCUGGAGAUUUCCUUCCCAUUUUCUCCCAUAUUGGAUCUCCUUUUUUUCUGGAGUCGAUGCCUUUUGUUUCCUUGGUUUAGUCUCUUCUUUUGGUGGAACACACCUUCCAGUUAGCUCCCUGUAAAAGGAAGCUGUCAGAAAAUGUCUCUCUUCUAUUCUCAUACCUAAUUGAUCAUUUUUGGCUGGAUACAGAACUCUAGCUCAAACAUGAUUUUCCCUCAGAAUUUUGAAGGCAUUACUCCAUUGGCUUCUUGCUUCCAGAGUUAUUGUUGAGAAAACUAAAUCCAUUCUCAUCUUGAUCAUUUGUAUGUGGCCUGUUUUUUUUUUCUCCCUCUCUGAAAGUUUAUAAGGGGUAUUCUUUUUCUUUUUAAUGUUCUGAACUUUUAUAGCAUUGUACAUUGGUGUAAAGUAAUUUUUAUUUAUUGGGCUGGGCCCUUUCAAUCAUGUCCAUAUCCUUCUGGUCAGGGUAAAAUUUUCCAUGUAUUUCAUGGGUGAUUCUUCUUUUUGAAACUUGUGUUAUUCAGAUGGGGGUUUUGGUGGGCUAGUCUUAGAAUUUUGUCUUCUUACUCUUUUUCCCAUUUCUUUGUGUUUUUUCUUUCCUUUCUGAGGGUUUGCCUCAAUGCUAUCUUUCAACCCUUCUAGCGAGUUCUUAAUGUCUGCUAUCAUGUUUUAAAUUUCCAAGAACUGUUUCUUUGUUCUGAAUAUCUCAUCUUUCCUUUAAAAAAAAUUGUUUCUGAGCUAGAUGUGGUGGGGUGUGCCUGUAGUUCCAGCUACUUGGGAGGCUGAAGUGGGAGGCUUGGGCCCAGGUUUUCAAGGCCAGCAUGAGCAACAUAGCAAGAUCCUGUCUUAAAAAAAAAAAAAAAGAAAAAGAAAAAAAUUGUUUCUAUUUCAUUGAUGCAGUGUCCCUUAUUUUUCUUAUAAUAUUAAUGAGUUUCUUUUUUUUGUUUAAAAUAUUUUUUUCCUUGCAUAGUUUCUGUUUCUGCCAAUUCAUUUUUUCUUUUAGUUUGUUAGGCUCUUUAUCCAUAUAAUCUAGCUAAUGGGUUUUGGCAGGCUAAUGAAUAUAUAAAUUUGGAGUCAAGGGAAGAGGUUGGAGAAUAAAAAUUUUAUCCAACUCAGAGAGCUGUUAUAAAAAUUAAGUGAUGUAAUGCAUAUAAUUUGCUUAGCACAGGUCUGGAAUAUAGUAAGCAUUCAAAUGUUAGAUGUUAUUUUUUAUUUUAUUAUUUAAUGGCUGCAUCAUACUCUUUUAGCAUAGCAUAUAGAUGAACAUAAUUCACCUCGCCAUUCCUCUACUGCUAUUGAAGAUCGGGCUUACUUUUUCACUUUUUACUAUUAUAUAAAUAGGGAUUGGUAUUUUUCUGAAAGCAGCUUUAGUCACAUAUUUUUAAACUUUCAUUAUGUAAUAUAUAUUUUUUUGAGACAGGAUUUUGAUCUGUUACCCAGGCUGGAGCACAGUGGCACGAUCAUAGCUUACUGCAGCCUUGACUUCCCAGGCUCAAUCUGUUCUCCUUCCUCAGCCUUCUGGUUAAGCUGGGACUACAGGCACGUGACCCACACCCAACUAAUUAAUUUUUUUUUUUUUUUUUUUUUUUUUUUUGUAGAGGUAGGGUUUCUUUAUGUUGCCUAGGCUGGUCUCAAACUCCUGAGCUCAAGCAAUUCUCCUGUCUUGGCCUUCCAAAGUACUGGUAUUACAGGUGUGAGUUACCGUGCCCAGACUCAUUAUGGAAUUUUCAAUCAUGUACAAAAGUAAAGAAAAUGGUAUAAUAAACUCCUGCAUACCCAUUAUUUAGUUUCAACAAUAGCCAUUUUUGGUCAAGUAUCCAAAGAUGUUCAUGUUUAAUGGGCCAUCUUGUUUUAUCUAUAGUAUAUGGAUUCUAUACCAGUGCUGUCUAAUAAAAAUAUAAUGUAAACUACAAAGGAAAACCAUGUUUGUAAUUUAAAACCUAACUUAAUGUAACCUAAAAUGUUCUAGUAGCUACAUUUGAAAAAUAUGAAAGAAAGAAGUGAAAUUUAUUUAUUUAUUUAUUUAAGACAGGGUCUUACUCUAUUGCCCAGGCUGGAGUGUAGUGGUGCAAUCAUAGUUUGUUGAAGCAUCAAAUUCCUGGACUCAACCGAUCUUCCAGCCUCAGCCUCAUGAGUAGCUAGGACUAUAGGCAUGUGCCAACAGGCCUGCUAAUUUUUAAAGUUUUUGUACAGACAGAGUCUCCCUGUGUUGCCCAAGCUGGUCUGGAACUCCUGGCCUUAAGUGAUCCUCCCAUCUCACCUCAGCCUCCCAAAGUGCUGAGAUUAUAAGUGUGAGCCAUUGUGCCUGGCCUGUGAAAUUAAUUUUAAUAAUACAUUUUAUUUUACUCAAUGUAUCCAAAAUAUUGUUUUAAUAUAUAACCAGUUUCCAAGUUAUUAAUGACAUAUUUUAAUUUUUUUGGUACUAAGUCUUCAAAAUCUAGUGUGUACUUUACAUUCAUUGCAUAUCUCAACUGGACUAGCUCAAUAGCCAUAUGUGCCUAGUGGCUCCCCUAUGAGAAAAUGUGAAUAUGCUCACCAAACAGGAUUAAUGUGAAGCAGAUCCCAGACAUUAUAUCAGUGUAUCCAUAAAUAUUUCAAUAUGUAUCUGUAAUAACAAUGUCCGUAUUUUUAAAAAAGGUUUCCUUAGAAUUAAUUUUUAGAAAUACGGUUGUUGGAUUGAGGAAUGUGCACUUUUAAAAUCUUGCAGCAUAUUAUAGCUACUUUUUCGGAACGUUAGAUUAAUUUACACUCCUUUCUGGAGUGUGUGAUGGAGCCCAUGUCACCCUCAUAGAGUGUAUUUGGAUCCCUGACCAUGGUUCUGAAAUCUACAGAAAGGCAGUAAGACUUCCUCUCUGUUGUGAGAGGUCAAAUUUUGUUUUGUUUUGUUUUAAUGGCUUAAAACAAGUUUUAUUCUCUUACAGUUCUAAAGGUCAGAAGUCUGAAUUCAGUUUUACUGGGCUAAAGUCAACGUUUUGGCUUUUAGAGGUUCCUUUUGGAGACUCUGAGGGGAUAAUUUGUUUCCUUGCUUUUUCAGCUUCUCAUGGCCACCUAUGUUCCUUGACUUGCCCCUUCCUCCAUCUUUCAAGUGCAUCAUCCCAAUCUUUACUUGUAUUCAUCACACCGCCUUUUCAUCUGUGAGAAGUCAAGUUCUAGUGAUGAUUCAGAGGUGACUUUUAAGCAGAUAAGAGCAAAGGGACACAAGCAGGAACCUGCCAGACAUAGUGGUGUGUACAUGUAGUCCCAGCUACUUGGGAGGCUGAGAAGGAAGGAUUGCAUGAGCCCAGGGGUUCAAGUCCAGCCUCAGCAACAUAGACCCCAUCUCUAAAAUAAAUGAAUAAAUAAAUAAAUAAAAUAAAAUAAAAUAAAAACAUGGGCUUCUUGGAACUCUACUUUUAUUUAGAAAAGAAGAAAGCAGAUGACAGAAGAUAGAGGGAGGUAACAAUAACAAGAGAGACAGACUUCUGGGUAAAAAUGGCUGAUAAAACACAAACUGAUAUCUAAGUGCAUAUCUUCCUGAUGCCUGACUAGAACAACAGUGGGGGCUGUCCUUAAAUACUUGCCUUGUUUUCUUUCUUUCUUUUCUUUUCUUUUCUUUUCUUUCUUUUUCUUUUUCUUUUCUUUUCUUUUUUUUUUGAGAUGGAGUCUCCCUCUGUUGCCCAGGCUCGAGUGCAGUGGCACAAUCUCGGCUCACUGCAACCUCCGCCUCCUGGAUUCAAGCGAUUCUCCUGCCUCAGCCUUCCGAGAAGUUGGGAUUAUAGGCACCUGCCAUCCUGCCCAGCUAAUUAUUGUAUUUUUAGUAGAGAUGAAAUUUCACCAUGUUGGUCAGGCUGGUCUCGAACUGCUGAGCUCAGGUGAUCCACCCGCCUUGGCCUCCCAAAAUGCUGGGAUUACAGGCAUGAGCGAGCCACCACUCCUGGCACCUCGUUUGUUUUCUGUUUAAGGUGAGGGGAUAAAAAGCUGAUUGGAAGUUUUGAGUUAUUGAUUCAAGCUUCACUGUAGGAUAAUCUGACUAGCAAACUGCAAAUGCCAGCACAUUUGUGUCCUUUCUCCUGGACUUCUUGGAUUCCUCACAAAAGAAUCUUCCAAAGUCCUGACUAGAGGGUAGAGUUAACCUAGAACCUGGGAGUUGAUGGGGUUAGAGGCUUGGAGUCUAAACACUGAAUAUGCCUUGGUUUCCUUAAUCUUGUUGUUUUGGUAUGACACCUCCACCUGUAACUGUGCCUUGUGCCUUCCAGUUCCUGUGCUUGGGUUAGGAAGAGGCAGUCACUCAUCAGCAAAGAGUAGAAGGUAUCUAGGAACCACUAUUCUUUUUUUUUUUUUCUUUUCGAGAAGGAGUCUUGCUCUGUCGCCCAGGCUGGAGUGCAGUGGUGCAAUCUCGGUUCACUGCAACCUCUGCCUCCCGCGUUCAAGCGAUUCUCCUGCCUCAGCUGCCUCAGUCUCCUUAGUAUCUGGGAUGACAGGUGCUCUACCACACCUGGCUAAUUUUUGUAUUUUUAGUAGAGACAGAGUUUCACCAUGUUGGCCAGGCUGGUCUUGAACUCCUGACCUCAUGAUCCACCCGCCUCAGCCUCCCAAAGUGCUGGGAUUACAGGCAUGAGCCACUGCACCUGGCCAGAAUCACUAUUCUUAAACAGCUUUAAUUAUCUUUAUUUUGUGCUUGCCAACCCAACUUGCAGCUGUACUUGAUGCCACAGAUUCCUGAGCUUUUUGAGAACACUGCUGUUUACAUUGGUUGAUUUUUUAUUUUCUCAUUGUUUUAGGAUUGUGCUUUCUUGGGUCUGCUAAGUCAGUUACCCCUGGUCCACCAUGCCAAAAUGUUUUUGUUGUUUUCUUUUCUUCUUUUCUCUCCAUGCUUAUGGAUAUGUGCUGGUAUAAACAGUUUUUGUUUUUUUAAGAAAAUAGUCUGGAUCUUAACCUUCCUCUUACUAAACCCUCUCUCCCUGCUAUAUUCACAUGUCAUUUAAUAGCAACUCUAUCCUUUCAGUCACUCAGGCAAAAAUAUUGGAAUAACUUUUAACCCCUCUUUUUCUCUCUCACUCCAUGUACAUUCAUCAGCAAACACUGUGGGCUCUACUUUCACAUAUAUCCGGGGUCUGACCAUUGCUCACAGCCUCUACUGCUACCAACCUGAUCCAAGCCAUCAGCAUUUCUCAUCUGGAUUAUUAAAAUCACCCACCAACUGGUUUUCCUGUUUCUGCUCUUGUCUCCUUUGUUUUUUAUCACUGUAACUAGAAACAGAAGCCAGAUACCCCUCCUUUGUUCAGAACUCUAAAUGGGGCCCCCUUGCACCAUCUACUCCGUCUUAACUCCCUUACCCUAUCUCCUCCAUCUUCCAGUCAUUUAUUCUGCUCCAAUCACAAUGGCCUUUGUAUUUGUGGUCUCUUUUGCUUAGAAUGCUCUUCCUCCAGAUAUUCAAAUGGCCGACUCCUUCACAUUUUCCAAGUGUUCGUUCAGACGUCACCUUAUCUGAAAAGACUUUUCUGACCUAAUGGCGUCCCCAUCUCAUGCUCCUGGCACUUUCCUUUCCCCUUACUUUUCUUUAUAUUUCUCCAGAUCACUUAUAAUCCCCUGUACAGUGUGUAUUUAGUUGGUUAGUGUCUGUCUCCCCCACUAGAACGUUGGCUCCCUGAAGGCAAGGACUUUGUCUACAUUGUUAAUUGGUGGAGUUAUGCCACCUACACAGGAUCUUACUCAGAGGAUGAAUUCAAUCAAUAUUAGUUGAAUGAACAAAUGAACAAGCAGUUGAAUUGAAUGGCUGUAUUAAAGGAAACUGAGGCAUAGAAAACUUAAGAUUUUUAGACAAAGAUCACACAACAAUGAACAGCAGAACUAGGAUGUGUGAACCAGGUUUUUGUGAUGUGAAAGCCUGAGUUCUUAAUCAUUUUGUUUGAUAUUUGGGAAUAAUUUUUAAUGAGAUCUGAAAAUGCUAAUGGUAUAAUGCUGUGAACGAAGGAAAUAUAAAAUUGUAAUUCCAGCAUGAUCUUAACUAUGUACAAAUAU